GAUGAACGCUGGCGGCGUGCCUAAUACAUGCAAGUCGAACGAGUUCUCGUUGAUGAUCGGUGCUUGCACCGAGAUUCAACAUGGAACGAGUGGCGGACGGGUGAGUAACACGUGGGUAACCUGCCCUUAAGUGGGGGAUAACAUUUGGAAACAGAUGCUAAUACCGCAUAGAUCCAAGAACCGCAUGGUUCUUGGCUGAAAGAUGGCGUAAGCUAUCGCUUUUGGAUGGACCCGCGGCGUAUUAGCUAGUUGGUGAGGUAAUGGCUCACCAAGGCGAUGAUACGUAGCCGAACUGAGAGGUUGAUCGGCCACAUUGGGACUGAGACACGGCCCAAACUCCUACGGGAGGCAGCAGUAGGGAAUCUUCCACAAUGGACGCAAGUCUGAUGGAGCAACGCCGCGUGAGUGAAGAAGGCUUUCGGGUCGUAAAACUCUGUUGUUGGAGAAGAAUGGUCGGCAGAGUAACUGUUGUCGGCGUGACGGUAUCCAACCAGAAAGCCACGGCUAACUACGUGCCAGCAGCCGCGGUAAUACGUAGGUGGCAAGCGUUAUCCGGAUUUAUUGGGCGUAAAGCGAGCGCAGGCGGUUUUUUAAGUCUGAUGUGAAAGCCCUCGGCUUAACCGAGGAAGCGCAUCGGAAACUGGGAAACUUGAGUGCAGAAGAGGACAGUGGAACUCCAUGUGUAGCGGUGAAAUGCGUAGAUAUAUGGAAGAACACCAGUGGCGAAGGCGGCUGUCUGGUCUGUAACUGACGCUGAGGCUCGAAAGCAUGGGUAGCGAACAGGAUUAGAUACCCUGGUAGUCCAUGCCGUAAACGAUGAAUGCUAGGUGUUGGAGGGUUUCCGCCCUUCAGUGCCGCAGCUAACGCAUUAAGCAUUCCGCCUGGGGAGUACGACCGCAAGGUUGAAACUCAAAGGAAUUGACGGGGGCCCGCACAAGCGGUGGAGCAUGUGGUUUAAUUCGAAGCAACGCGAAGAACCUUACCAGGUCUUGACAUCUUUUGAUCACCUGAGAGAUCAGGUUUCCCCUUCGGGGGCAAAAUGACAGGUGGUGCAUGGUUGUCGUCAGCUCGUGUCGUGAGAUGUUGGGUUAAGUCCCGCAACGAGCGCAACCCUUAUGACUAGUUGCCAGCAUUUAGUUGGGCACUCUAGUAAGACUGCCGGUGACAAACCGGAGGAAGGUGGGGAUGGCGUCAAAUCAUCAUGCCCCUUAUGACCUGGGCUACACACGUGCUACAAUGGAUGGUACAACGAGUUGCGAGACCGCGAGGUCAAGCUAAUCUCUUAAAGCCAUUCUCAGUUCGGACUGUAGGCUGCAACUCGCCUACACGAAGUCGGAAUCGCUAGUAAUCGCGGAUCAGCACGCCGCGGUGAAUACGUUCCCGGGCCUUGUACACACCGCCCGUCACACCAUGAGAGUUUGUAACACCCGAAGCCGGUGGCGUAACCCUUUUAGGGAGCGAGCCGUCUAAGGUGGGAC
rnacentral:rRNA from 1 species